GAAGGAAUAUGAUUCAGUUUUUACAUAACCUACCACACUGCCGCCUUGUCGUCCGAUAGACCAUGCCAUUUCUCUCUAAUAUAGAACUGCUCCGAUGAGUGUUAGGCCCUACUGAUAUAGUCAUUGGCAAAAGGACAAGAUUGAAAGAAUGGUUACUGAAAUGUUGCAAGCUAGAAUCAUAUAGCCAGGUUGUAGCCCAUUAUCAAGUCCUGUACUAUUGGUAAAAAAGAAAGAUAGAAGUCGGCAUUUCUGCAUCGAUUAUAGAUCUCUUAAUAGGGUGACUGUACCUAAUAAAUACCCUACACUAGUUAUCCAAGAG
rnacentral:misc_RNA from 1 species